rnacentral:rRNA from 1 species
CCUANGGGUGGCAGCAGGGAGGAAUAUUGGGCAAUGGGCGAAAGCCUGACCCAGCAACGCCGCGUGAAGGAUGAAAGCCUUCGGGUCGUAAAGCCCUGUCGUAAGGGAAGAAAUGUUGGGCGGCUAAUACCCGUUCAGCUUGACGGUACCUUAUAAGAAAGCACCGGCUAACUCCGUGCCAGCAGCCGCGGUAAUACGGAGGGUGCGAGCGUUGUUCGGAAUCACUGGGCGUAAAGCGCGUGCAGGCGGCUGGUUAAGUCUGGUGUGAAAGCCCGGGGCUCACCCCCGGAAGUGCGCUGGAAACUGGCUAGCUAGAGUAUGGGAGAGGGAAGUGGAAUUCCUGGUGUAGCGGUGAAAUGCGUAGAUAUCAGGAGGAACAACGGCGGCGAAGGCGGCUUCCUGGACCAAUACUGACGCUGAGACGCGAAAGCGUGGGGAGCAAACAGGAUUAGAUACCCUUNUANUC